rnacentral:rRNA from 1 species
CCCUUAGAGUUUGAUCCUGGCUCAGGACGAACGCUGGCGGCGUGCUUAACACAUGCAAGUCGAACGAAGAGCGAUGGAAGCUUGCUUCUAUCAAUCUUAGUGGCGAACGGGUGAGUAACGCGUAAUCAACCUGCCCUUCAGAGGGGGACAACAGUUGGAAACGACUGCUAAUACCGCAUACGAUCUAAUCUUGGCAUCGAGGAUAGAUGAAAGGUGGCCUCUACAUGUAAGCUAUCACUGAAGGAGGGGAUUGCGUCUGAUUAGCUAGUUGGAGGGGUAACGGCCCACCAAGGCGAUGAUCAGUAGCCGGUCUGAGAGGAUGAACGGCCACAUUGGGACUGAGACACGGCCCAGACUCCUACGGGAGGCAGCAGUGGGGAAUCUUCCGCAAUGGACGAAAGUCUGACGGAGCAACGCCGCGUGAGUGAUGACGGCCUUCGGGUUGUAAAGCUCUGUUAAUCGGGACGAAAGGCCUUCUUCGA